CGCAACCCUCGCUGUGUGUUACAAGUGUCACACGGAACUGCCGGUCGAUAAACCGGAGGAAGGUGGGGAGUGACGUCAAGUCAGCAUGGCCUUUAUAUCCUGGGCUACACACACGCUACAAUGGGAAGGGACAAUAGGUUGCGAAGCCGCGAGGCGGAGCCAAUCCAGCAAAACUUCCCUCAGUUCAGAUUGCAGGCUGCAACUCGCCUGCAUGAAGUUGGAGUUGCUAGUAAACGCAGGUCAGCCAUACUGCGUUGAAUACGUUCCCGGGGCUU
rnacentral:rRNA from 1 species